UACGAGGGGUGCAAGCGUUAUUCGGAAUAACUGGGCGUAAAGGGUGCGUAGACGGUAUAUUAAGCUUGUUGUUAAAUUCCCUGGCCUAACUGGGGACGUGCGGUGAGAACUGGUAUACUAGAGGGUGAGAGAGAGAAGUGGAAUUUCAGGAGUAGCGGUAAAAUGCGUAGAUCUCUGAAGGAACACCAAUGGCGAAGGCAGCUUCUUGGCUCAUACCUGACGUUGAGGCACGAAAGCGUGGGGAGCAAACAGG
rnacentral:rRNA from 1 species